rnacentral:rRNA from 1 species
GUCUACAGCCAUACCACCCUGAACACUCCCGAUCUCAUCUGAUCUCAGAAGCUAAGCAGGGUCGGGCCUGGUUAGUGCUUGGAUA